CACAGAUAUGAGAAACUACAUGCCACAACAUGGAUAAUCUCACAAGUGUGAAGAGAAUGAAGAGAAACCAGUGAAAGGCAAGAGACAAAGUGUGGAUAAGGUUAGUCUUCCAUCUCCUCUAAAAGAAGUGGAGAAGCAGCUCCAGGCUUCCUUCCAUGGACAGGCAGGUUUACAUGAUGGUGGUAUCAUUCCCACUUCAAAUGAACAUGAAUCAAGUAACAACUGGGGAUGAAAGAGGCCAUAGAUGAAGAAUAAAGGAUGAGGAGAGCAGCUGCUGUGAAAAAAACCUGUGUAAUUUUCAGGCUUGGCUGAAAGCAAUUACAAGAGCUGUACCUGGCAGGCCCCGCGGGGAAAACCUGCCUCCCAUCACAGUCUGGAAGGACUCUCGCAUCAAUGGCUACUCCGACACCUGACAUCUAAUGACUCCCAGCUCUGCUGAGAUGCUGACCAAAGGAAGCCCACCAGAAGCGAAGAGGAAUCCGGAAACUGUGGAUCCACUAAAAAAAAAAUCUGACUCCUCACAGAUGCGAAUACAAUAUCUGGAUCCACAUUAUUCUUCUCCCAUCAAUAAAUAUAACGUUGACCAACAUUA